rnacentral:misc_RNA from 1 species
GAUGAAGAACGUAGCGAAAUGCGAUAAGUAAUGUGAAUUGCAGAAUUCAGUGAAUCAUCGAAUCUUUGAACGCACAUUGCGCCCGCCAGCAUUCUGGCGGGCAUGCCUGUUCGAGCGUCGUUUCAACCCUCGAGCCCCCCCGGGGGCCUCGGUGUUGGGGGACGGCACACCAGCCGCCCCCGAAAUGCAGUGGCGACCCCGCCGCAGCCUCCCCUGCGUAGUAGCACACACCUCGCACCGGAGCGCGGAGGCGGUCACGCCGUAAAACGCCCAACUUUCUUAGAGUUGACCUCGGAUCAGGUAGGGAUACCCGCUGAACUUAAGCAUAUCAAUAAGCGGAGGA